rnacentral:rRNA from 1 species
AUUGAACGCUAGCGGGAUGCUUUACACAUGCAAGUCGAACGAGUGGCGGACGGGUGAGUAAUAUAGCGGAACGUGCCCAGUCGCGGGGGAUAACUCCUCGAAAGAGUGGCUAAUACCGCAUACUAUUUGAGCGGCCGAUAUCUGAGUAGCUAGUUGGUGGGGUAAAGGCUCACCAAGGCAACGAUCCGUAGCUGGUUUGAGAGGACGACCAGCCACACUGGGACUUAGACACGGCCCAGACUCCUACGGGAGGCAGCAGUGGGGAAUGUUGGACAAUGGGGGAAACCCUGACACAGCCAUCCCGCGUGUAUGAGAAGGCCUUCGGGUUGUAAAGUACUGUGGGCAGAGAAGCGGUAUCUGCAGAAUAAGCACCGGCUAACUGCGUGCCAGCAGCCGCGGUAAUUC